GGGGUGAAAACAUACUGGGUGGGAUCGGACAUGAACAAAACAGGUGCCAGCCCCUAGAAUGAAAUUAGUGUACACUGCAGCGUGAUAUGAAGAUCUUAAGUGUCGAUUUUGUCAAAACCUUAUUCCGUUCUUCAGGGACUAAAGCAAGUCUUUUCGGAGGCUCAUAAUUCUAGUGCAUUAGCAUAGACCCCAAGGUCCCUCAAUCUUUAAGUACACUGCUAUAGAGAUUCCCUAACAGUAAGGACACAAUACUCAGUAAGCCUCUACUUGUGUGGGUUUUUUGAUCAUGGAAUGCUUUGAGCACCGUGCAUCUACCAAACGUGAAAUUACCGUCGGCGGUUGACCUGAUGCAGAGUAAGUCAAUUUUCUUUCUCAAAGGAUUCACUAAGUCCCUGAGAUCAGGAAUGCUCAGUACUUUGGUUCUUGCAUGUGCUUCUGCAUGCUGUAACUAUUUCUUUUCAAUAUUCUGAGUGAUGACCGAACCAUCAACUUCGUCGCAAUAUCUUCCGUAAGACCUUCACAAAUUACCUGCAAAUGAUGUUGCUGGUGCUUCUCUGAAGUGUCACCACGCUCCGCUGUCUAAAAACAUAUUUGAAUGUUCAGAUAUUAGUGGAACAACAGCUAUGGCAUUAGUAAUCCAUGAUCAACUAAUACCAUCCACUACCCACGCAUUAGUGGUGCAACGCUAUUCUCGAUAUGGUUGGUUGAUGUUGGCUACUUUCCGCUCGAAACAGAUGUAUUUUCAAUCUGGUCUUAAAAAAAAUAUAAAACGCACGUGCAAACGAAGGGUACAUCAGCAGCCGCUGUACAAUCAGCAACAAAAGUACUAAAUUCAUAACAUUCAUAAAACUCAAUAUUAUGAGUUCCUUGAGCAACCAAUAGAGUCUGACUAUCGUCAGCAACAAAGCUAUUAAUUGGGAUUCUACUGAAAUACUGAGCAGAGCAUGGUUUUAGUAACUAAAACUCUUAUUGCAAGUACAAUUACUCAGCUUAACUUCCUACUCUAAUGUCGUACCUGAACCUGCUUGAUGAAAAUAACAUAUGAAACAGUAAAAGUAUCCAGAAAAUAAAUGUAGUUCAUAUGCCAAAAGGCGCUGGUCGCAACAAACCAAAACUCUUAGCCUCCACAGCCACCACCGCAGCCUCCACCACAGCCACCACCAUCACUGAGCAUUGAGCCAAUUAGCAACCCUCCAAGAGCACCGCCCACUAGACCAGCUCCCAGUCCACCACCCAUGCCGCUACUUCUGCGUGGAGGAGGUUGACCAUACGCACCCGGUGGAUAAUAUGGUGGAGGCAUACCGCCAGGAGGUGUUUGAUACAUAGGGCCCUGUUGGUACAUUGGAUAAGGCUGGGCAGCACCCGGUUGGCCAUAAGCAGGAGGAUAGCCAGGAGCUGGGUAUGCAUACGCAGGAGCAUCUUUACCAUUACCACCAGGCACGGGCAUCCCCAUCAUGUAAGGUGGCGCAGCUGCUCCCAUUGGUUGCUGUGGGUAUUUGAUCAGCUCUCCCAGUUUGAUGGAUACAUUCAAGGUACCUUUUGCUUUCCCAGACUUCCUCA
rnacentral:lncRNA from 1 species